UCCCAGUUCCUGAUAACUGACACAAACACAAACUCUAGAUAAUUUUGGGCCACCCAAAUACUGCCCUAGAUUCCUUCACUUUCCCCUCCCUGGAACAGCCACGUUCCCAAAGACUGAAGCAGCACACAGCCUGGUGGCGGAGGGAGCUGUUAAGUGAUCUUAACAUUUUCACCAGCACAAGAGGUAAAGAUUUUAUAUGUCAGUGUUUCCAAUCCACUUCAAAAUUUCUCAAAGCAAUGACAGUAUGUAAGCAUCAAUGGAGCUCUAUCGUUUGGAGAUCACAAGUCUGGACAUUUUACUGUCUUCUAGAUUCAUUUCAGCACUCCCAGAGUAUUGGAGGAAACAAAAUUGUAAAUAAACUGAAGAACCACUGUGAUAAGACCGGCUACAACCUACUUCAACUUGCAGUGCCUGGGAAUGGUCCUGACAGGAUUCUGGCACAGUUAGGGUUAGAACCCAUUUCUGUAUGAG